GAUGAAGAACGCAGCGAAAUGCGAUAAGUAAUGUGAAUUGCAGAAUCCAGUGAAUCAUCGAAUCUUUGAACGCACAUUGCGCCCGCCAGCAUUCUGGCGGGCAUGCCUGUUCGAGCGUCAUUUCAACUCUCGACCUCCCUUUGGGGAAGUCGGCGUUGGGGACCGGCAGCACACCGCCGGCCCUGAAAUGGAGUGGCGGCCCGUCCGCGGCGACCUCUGCGUAGUAAACCAACUCGCACCGGAACCCCGACGUGGCCACGCCGUAAAACACCCAACUUCUGAACGUUGACCUCGAAUCAGGUAGGACUACCCGCUGAACUUAAGCAUAUCAAUAAGCGGAGGA
rnacentral:misc_RNA from 1 species